rnacentral:tRNA from 1 species
UAUAUCUUGGUGUAUGGCGCACAAUAGCUUUUGAUGUUAGGGGUGAUAGUUUGAUUCUGUUAGAUAUAA